rnacentral:lncRNA from 1 species
CAAUAAAGAGCAUUACUCUUGGCAGACGCACAUCAUGGGAGGAAAGGGAGGGAGCAUCUGUGCUGUUCUCUCCUUUUUGAUAAUAACCAUGAGAGAUAUGCUUCACCUGGAAGAGAAAGCAAGACCCCAUGAGACAGAUAAGGACCAGGAGCAGUAGCUCUCAGCCCUGGCUGCACAUUCAAACCACCUGGGGAUUUUGAACUCACCUGUGGAGUUGUUCAUCUACUUGCUUUUCACAGAGGUCUAGAGUUCCUGGUCUCGAUUCCUGGGAUGGGCCGGUCAUCACCUCCUGGGCCUGAUGAGGAGAGUGCAUGUUCUCUGCUGUUGUAGGAAGUAACACAAGUAGGCAGAGAGGUUGCUUCAAGCUCUGAGGGCCUCAACUUCAGGAAUAGCCUGAAAAUAAUAUGAAGGCAAAACAGUGCAGUUGCUCUCUAAAUCGCCUUGGCUUUGAUGUGUGUUAGUAAUGAAGCAGGCAGAUGCCUGAGGAGCUCCUUUCUGUGAAUUUACUCCAGUUGCCACACCCUGGGCCCCUAGAGCAGUGUUUGUCUCCUGGCAGGCCUCACCCCAUCAGAUGGGAAGGACAAACGUGCUCCCGGAACGUGAUUCCUCAGCACUCCUCGUUCAUCACCUGCACUCUCCCCCCGGACUCCUGCCCUUCCUGCAGCCCCUCCUUCCCUUCUCUGGAUCUGUCCUGUUCCCUUUCUGCCUUCUCCAGGACCUGUCCCCAGGGCCUGCAGCCCCCAGCCCCUCCAUAUGGGCAAGAUGAAAAAACCCAGAGCACUUGGAAGAAGUUCUAGGGGCUAUGGAAGAACGUGUAUGAAUCCUACCUUGGGCUUUUACUAAAAGAACAUGCUCUCUGCCAUGGAUAGUGUGGGUUUGAUGCUGGCUUUGGAGGGCUGUAGAAAGGGUACUAAAGUUCCCGAGAGGAGGUUGGAAUUCUGGAGUU